UACGUAGGGGGCAAGCGUUGUCCGGAUUCAUUGGGCGUAAAGAGCUCGUAGGCGGCUUGGCAAGUCGGGUGUGAAAACUUCAGGCUCAACCUGGAGCGGCCACUCGAUACUGCCAUGGCUUGAGUCCGGUAGGGGACCACGGAAUUCCUGGUGUAGCGGUGAAAUGCGCAGAUAUCAGGAGGAACACCGGUGGCGAAGGCGGAUCUCUGGGCCGUAACUGACGCUGAGGAGCGAAAGCAUGGGUAGCGAACAGG
rnacentral:rRNA from 1 species